AUUUAAAAAUCACCUUGAUUUGAUGGUACUCUUGGGUACAAUUUCUAGUCUCCCAUUUUGGAGAGCUUUUUCACCAUAAAUACAUUUUAAAACACAAAAUGAGGUGAUUUGGCCCAUUUUUCUAUGUAUAUAAUUUAACCUUCAAAGGAUUAUGGUCUAUGGAGCAAACAGGUUAAUAGGAAGGUUUUAAAAAGACAUUUUUUCAUCUGAUGGGACAUAAUUGUACCUACGGAGCUGUUAUGGUCCAUUGUAUAAAUCCUUCAAAUUCAUGGACUAUUGGCCCAAAACACAGUAAUGGAUCCUGCAGAGCAUUGAAAAUCUAUCAUGUUAAUACUGCUGCAGCAUAUGCACAGUCUGAAGUUUAUUCUCCCAUCCACGCCUUAGAGGAUUUGUAUGUAAUUCUCAUAUUAAAAGACAUGAUUCCUGUACUCCAGACGGAAUGGUUUGCCAAGCCCCUUACAUGUUAAGUAAAACAUCUUCUCAGGAUUUGCACUAAAACCAAUGAUAAUAACAUAUUCCUGUAAAACA
rnacentral:lncRNA from 1 species